UGGAAACAUGUUUCCUCUUCAUUCCAUGCAGAGUUUACAGAAGAUGGGCUUCCACCUUCCAAAAGAGAAACCAGCUGAAGAUUCAGGGGGUACAUUUGCAGGUUUGCUACCCAAGUAGACUUCAUGAUCCUGAAGUUUGGAGUACAUCACCCAGAUACAGAGCAAAACAGGUACCAUCCCUUUUUCAUGUUGUGCCUUUCAUGACUCCCAAUAUUUAGUAGGCUCACAGUUGUCUACUUGAAAAUGUUCAUUAGUUGUAUUUAAGCUAUUAGGUACUCAAAAUACUAAAAAUCCAU
rnacentral:lncRNA from 1 species